rnacentral:rRNA from 1 species
GAUGAACGCUGACAGAAUGCUUAACACAUGCAAGUCAACUUGAAUUUGGGUUUUUAACUUAGGUUUGGGUGGCGGACGGGUGAGUAACGCGUAAAGAACUUGCCUCACAGCUAGGGACAACAUUUGGAAACGAAUGCUAAUACCUAAUAUUAUGAUAAUAGGGCAUCCUAUAAUUAUGAAAGCUAUAAGCGCUGUGAGAGAGCUUUGCGUCCCAUUAGCUAGUUGGAGAGGUAACGGCUCACCAAGGCGAUGAUGGGUAGCCGGCCUGAGAGGGUGAUCGGCCACAAGGGGACGGAGACACGGCCCUUACUCCUACGGGAGGCAGCAGUGGGGAAUAUUGGACAAUGGACCGAGAGUCUGAUCCAGCAAUUCUGUGUGCACGAUGAAGUUUUUCGGAAUGUAAAGUGCUUUCAGUUGGGAAGAAACAAAUGACGGUACCAACAGAAGAAGUGACGGCUAAAUACGUG